rnacentral:rRNA from 1 species
UACGUAGGGUGCAAGCGUUAAUCGGAAUUACUGGGCGUAAAGCGUGCGCAGGCGGUUUUGUAAGUCUGUCGUGAAAUCCCCGGGCUCAACCUGGGAAUGGCGAUGGAGACUGCAAGGCUAGAAUCUGGCAGAGGGGGGUAGAAUUCCACGUGUAGCAGUGAAAUGCGUAGAGAUGUGGAGGAACACCGAUGGCGAAGGCAGCCCCCUGGGUCAAGAUUGACGCUCAUGCACGAA